CCGUCGAGUUAUGCUGGCAUGGCAUCUGAGCAGUUCUCACAGACCCGAAGCGGGGAGACUCGAAGGUGGAAGGGAGAGGGAGAGACAUAUAGGUUGCCUCUGGCAUGCACCCCGACGGGGGCCAGGGAGCAAGCCUGCAACUGAGUUACAUGCCCUUGACUGCAAUCAAAUCCACAACCCUUCAGUCUCAGGGCUGAUGCUCUAACCACUGUCAGCAAACCAGCCAGGGCAGUAAGCAAGUUAAUACAGUAUGAAGCUGAUGAAAGAUGCUUUGAAGACUGAUUAAAGGCACAGAGGUGGGAGAGAAAGUGGCGGCCUACAGUUUCACUGCACUGGGAGGUCUGAGGAUCCUGGAGAAGAAGUAACUGCAGAGGAGGGACUUGAACAGUCAGCGUGUCAUUUCCCCUGAGGGACACUCGCUGUUCCUACGUUUAUCACGUGCAGGCGGAGAGGCUUAGAAACCAAGCAGCAGCAUCUGGGAGUCUAAAAAGAAAGACUGCGCUUCCGGGUGUCACUGGAACCGACUCAUUUCACACGGCCGUGUCUCUCCACACGGUGUCCCUCUGCCUGGCAGGUCCCGACGGCCACGGAGCCUGUCCUUCACCACCACCGCCCCCUGCACAGCUGGCAGCCUCGAGUUUUCACCAAGCCUUGAGCACGUGUGUCACCGAGUGUCUCAGACUGAAAGGAAAUGCUCCUUUUUCACCUCCUCUGUCUCCCCGAGAGCAGGUGCGUGCCGGUUCAUCUCCCCAGCACCUCACUGGAAGCCUGGCGUCUGGUAAAAUCUCAAUGAACAUCUGCUGAACUGAAUGAUCUAAACUCCAGCUAGACUAGUAGGAGCAUUUUUAAAAAGCCACCCAAAUGCCUUCAU